rnacentral:rRNA from 1 species
AUUGAACGCUGGCGGCAGGCCUAACACAUGCAAGUCGAACGAGUGGCGGACGGGUGUGUUAUGUCUGGGAAACUGCCCGAUGGUGGGGGAUAACUACUGGAAACGGUCGCUAAUACCGCAUACCUUCGGAUGUGCCCCGAUGGGUUUCUCUAUUGGGUGGGGUAACGGCUCACCUAGGCGACGACGCCUAUCUGGUCUGAGAGGAUGACCAGCCACACUGGAACUGAGACACGGUCCAGACUCCUACGGGAGGCAGCAGUGGGGAAUAUUGCACAAGGGGGGCAAGCCUGAUGCAGCCAUGCCGCGUGUAUGAAGAAGGCCUUCGGGUUGUAAAGUACUUUCAGCGAGGAGGCGGGAGUCGAAGAAGAAGCACCGGCUAACUCCGUGCCAGCAGCCGCGGUAAUAG